UUUUUCUUUUGAUGUAGUCUGAUAAGACUCUGCUCACAGAACAAACCUUUUAACACAAAAUUAUUCUUUGAACACAUUCUCACAAAUGUGCACCUUCUAUCAUAUUUUUUAACCAAACAUUUCUAUGUUUUUGGUUGCAUUUAGUAUGGAGGCGAUUCAAGAAUGGGUCAAACAAUCAAAGGGAAUUGUGCCUAAUGUGGCUUGUAGCUUCUGCCUUGUGGUCUUGGAGAAGAUUCUGGAGCUGGAGGGAAAGAUCAACAUCAGAAUUUCCUUUUUUGGGAAAUCUGUUCUCAGGGCAUUGGUAUGGCUCUGCUCUUGGUCGCCUGUGGGGCAGUUAUAGUAUCCAUAUGCAACAACUACACCUGGGAUUUAGGAGAAGUCAGUGAUGACGUUACAGAAAGAAGAAGAGGCAUCGGAAGCAGUGUAAGAACAGGAGGAGGAGGACGAGGAGGAAGAGGUGGAGGAGGACUAGGAGGAAGAGGAGGAGAAGGAACAGAAGCAGCACAGGCAUCAGAAGCAGGAGGAGGAGCAGGAGCAGGAGGAGGAGGAGGAGGAGGAACAGGAGCAGAAGCAGCACAGGCAUCAGAAGCAAGAGGAGGAGCAGGAGGAGUACAGGCAUUAGAAGCAGGAGGAGGAGCAGCAGAAGAAGAAGCAGUACAGGCAUCAGAAGCAGGAGGACGAGGAGGAGGAGGAGCAGGAGCAGGAGGAGUACAGGCAUUAGAAGCUGGAGGAGGAGGAGGAGCAGGAGAAGGAGGAGUACAGGCAUUAGAAGCAGGAGGAGGAGGAGGAGCAGGAGGAGUACAGGCAUUAGAAGCAGGAGGACGAGGAGCAGGUGCAGAAGCAGUACAGGCAUCAGAAGCAGGAGGAGGAGCAGGAGAAUCAGAAGCAGGAGGAGGAGAAGGAAGAGGAGCAGAAGAAGUAGAUGCUUUGCUUCCAGAAAUUUGACGUCACCCCAUUGAAGUUAUGAAUUAAAAAGGAUUCAGGUUAGGUUUAGGGUUUAGGGUGGGGUUGAAGAAGCUGUUGAGAUGGUACGCAGGCCCAGAAAUGGAUAAAAAUGUGCUGUAUAAAAUUACAUUGGUAAAAAUGGUAUGUUUGUUUUUUUCUUCUUCACACAAUCAAUAAGUAACCAAUUUAUAACGUUUUUAUUUCUGAGUGUGGAGAUUAAGGAGUGUUUUCUCUGACACAGAUUAAGCCUAGUCCUGGACUAAAAAACACGUUUAUUAGCGAGUCUCCAUUGAAAUGCUUUUUAGUCCAGGAUUAAGGUGUAUCCGUGUCCACAAAAGCGACACUAAGGCUGAGUUUACAAAGGAAGACCAACUCUGAUCUUUUGACAAUUAUUUGUUCUAUUUAAUACAGUACAUACAGUAUCUGAUGUUUUUUUUCCAGUGAGUAAAAAACAACAACAUAAAACACAUUGAAUCUGAUCUUUUGAGUUCUGGUUUGUACCACAUUUGUAUGUGGUUUCCAAUCAAUUCUGAUCCAUCAUGCAACAGUCUGGACGCUGAUUUCUUCCACAUGACCUGCAGUUGCCAAAACAACCACCCCAAAAUGUAAUGGAACAAUGACAGAAAAUGGACUGAAAAAACCCAUCUGAAUUGGGUUCCUACGUCCCUGCCACAUUACAGCCGUCGGUCGUCCUGCACUAUCAUCAGCCAUCAGCCAUUGAGGGAAUGCUUCCUUUGCAAUCAAUGAAAGCUACUGACAAGAGUAGUAGCUUAAGCCUCAGCUCUCUGUGACAUUGUAGAGACACAACUUGCAGAUACCCACGCACACUCAUGAAGAAGUUUCACUUUCACACGCAGAGCACAAAGAAGAAUGAACAUUGAGAGGGAAUUGGCAUUGAUUAAAGAAAAUAAGAAAUUAUUGGGAGUGGAAUUUGUUAAAAUAAUGAUUGAAGGUUAAAGGUUGGAAACGGGAAAAUAUACAGUCUGCAAUAUCCUGCUUAAAUUUGUCCACUUUGCCAAUGAAAU
ensembl:lncRNA